rnacentral:lncRNA from 1 species
CUGUGUCAUCUCGGACCAGGUGUUGAACAAGUGCCAGUAUGUGGUCCGGUCGGCUACGGCAUGGCUGAGCUGGUGGCAACGAUGACGCCAUAAGCGAGCUCGGUAACCUGUGCAGCCUGGACAGGGUGGGAUGGAGAUCCAGCGUCAUGUCGUCGUACAGCAGCCCGGUCAAUGGGAAGAAGACCGCAGAACCGAUCGGGACAGUAAAGCGGGACAGUGAUGCCACUCACGGUAGUCACUGUACGCAAGAUAAGAUACAUAUAUACAGUCACUGUUCUAUUGCAGAAGAUAUAUACUCAAUCGUGGAGGCAUACAAUGCCAAGAUUUCGGUCGGAUCUGAUCAUGCUCGCAACAAACAUAUCUGAUCACAUUGCGGUUUGGGAUGCAUCAGGAUACUAGAGAAUAGCUACACAAACUGGUGUGGUUUGAGUGUUGUAUUGGGCAAUUCAGUGACCCAAGAAAAUAGGUUGUGCGCAUCGACAAGCACUAUGCAGAAUGGAGGCAGAUGAUCUGAGCUCGCUCUAAGCCUCACAUGUAUGUAAGGUGUUGAUACCAGCUAGGGUGCUAU